AAAAAAUCAUCAAAAUCGGAGUUAAAAUAACCGUUAAAUCAUGACUUUUCAUUUAUAACCGUUGAAAAGUUUUGUCCCGUUACUUGAUCUCUGAAUGUUUUUUUUUUCUGAUUUUUGGGGUCUAAGAUCUCGAAGUAUAAACAAACAAGUUUGAUGGCUGGAUUACUGAAACUAGUUUUGUAGAAUGCGUAUGCCGUUAAAAUCAUAUAUUCACCAACAAUGAAUAGUUUACUUAUACUUUCGUUAAAUAUAACAUAAGAUUAUGUGGUAUCCCCCUAGUGUAAACAUCUUAAAUUAAAGAUCAAAUUCAGUAAUUGUAUUCAUAUAGGGUCAAGAAAUGUAGCUGUAAAAAAUCAUAAAAAUCAGAGUUCAAAUAACCGUUAAAUCAUGACUUUUCAUUUAGAACCGUCGAAAAGUUUUGUCCCGUUACUUGAUCUCUUGAUGUUUGUUUUUUCCGAUUUUCGGUGUAUACGAUCUCGAAGUAUAAAAAAACAAGUUUGCUAGUUAGAUCAUUAAAACUAGUUUCGGGUUUAGGGUUUCCGCGGUUUAUGGUUUAGGGCUUAGGGUUUUGGGUUUAGGGUUUGCGCGACGAAAGAGGUUGAUUGGUCGCACAAAGCCUGCAGAAAACAGUCUUGCGCGACGAAUGCAGACUUCGUCGUCGUGCAAUCUCAGUCAGCCCUUUCACCCUCUUCUCCCUUGAACACU
rnacentral:lncRNA from 1 species